rnacentral:rRNA from 1 species
UACGAAGGGGGCCAGCGCUGCUCGGACUCACUGGGCGUAAAGCGCACGUAGGCGGCUUCUUAAGUCAGGGGUGAAAUCCUGGGGCUCAACCGCAGAACUGCCCUUGAUACUGAGGAGCUUGAGUCCGGGAGAGGUGAGUGGAACUCCGAGUGUAGAGGUGAAAUUCGUAGAUACGCGGAAGAACACCGGUGGUGUAGGCGGCUCACGGGGCCGGUAAUGACUUUGAGGUGCGAAAGCGUGGGGAGCAAACAGG